rnacentral:hammerhead_ribozyme from 1 species
AUCCAGCUGACGCGUCCCAAAUUGGACGAAACGCGCGUCCUGGAU